UACAAAGGGGGCUAGCGUUGCUCGGAAUCACUGGGCGUAAAGCGCAACGUAGGCGGAUUGCUAAGUCAGGGGUGAAAUCCUGGAGCUCAACUCCAGAACUGCCUUUGAUACUGGCGACCUUGAGUCCGGGAGAGGUGAGUGGAACUGCGAGUGUAGAGGUGAAAUUCGUAGAUAUUCGCAAGAACACCAGUGGCGAAGGCGGCUCACUGGCCCGGUACUGACGCUGAGGUGCGAAAGCGUGGGGAGCAAACAGG
rnacentral:rRNA from 1 species